UAGGCUGCGUCACGUGGUACAACUUUCCAAACCUGUGUGUGUUUCCCGAAAAAAAUGUAGAGGAACAAAAACCACUUUGAUGGUGGAAAAGGCCUUUGGAUUCACAUACAUCAAAUGAAGUUUUACACACUGAACUCAAGGCCAAUGUUAACUAUGCGUAAGGAAGAAUGUAACAUGGAGAUUGUUGUUUUCUUUAUUUUAUGCUGUUGACGCAGUGUUAGUAGUCUGUGAUUACCCAAUCAGACGUCUAGUUCUUGAACAGGCAUGUUCAUUUCUGUCUCUGUGGUUGUCUUGAUUCUGUCUGUGUCGUAAAUUAUUCAGUCGUAUCUCCUGUGGGUUUAGAGUUAACGCUCUUGCAAGUGGAUGAUGGGUUACUGUUUCAGUCGCUGCUAUGUUCAAGUUACAAAGUUGGACCGCCUGACCUGGGGAGCACCUGUGUCCGAGAACAUAUAUUGUACAUAGAUCAAUAUAAAUAUUUAUCUCACAUGUCUUUGGAAUACUUGGUCAAUUGUAGCAUUACAUAGUCAAAUAUUUUUGCAUAAUUAUGCUAAAGUGUAUAAUUGU